ensembl:lncRNA novel transcript, antisense to ITPR1
UCUCACUCCUCAGGUCAGCAAAAGUGUCAAUGAUAACCCCAAAAAUCAGGUUAAGAACAAUGAUGAUGACCAUGAAGAAGAACAAGAGGUCAUAAAUAACUCUAGCAGCAAACAGGGGUUCCUGGAAAAGAGAGGUGUCUGGAUCAGUCUGGGUCCCUUGCGACCCUUUGGUCUGCGGAGCCUGGGGCACAGCUCAAGUGAGACCUCAUCUACUUGGGUAGAAAUUAAAUUGGGCAUUCAACUUUUAAACUGAAAACUGCAUCUCUUUUCAUGUCCCCUGUCUCAAUUGCGACUUCUCCAAGUGUGGUGUGACACAGCCAGGAGGGAUAUUCACUGGACCAGCUCUGUGAACACGGCAAGUAACAACAGAGAGAAAACGUGAGGAGAAAAGAGAGACCGGGAUUUUGAAAUCCUGUUUCCUGAAUGCCAUCUCACCAGGCACACGAAAGAAUAAA